rfam:Lactobacillus oligofermentans DSM 15707 = LMG 22743 strain DSM 15707 NODE_5, whole genome shotgun sequence.
CGAAAGGCCUUAGGGCGAGGGCGCUCUUACGAACCGUGUCAGGUCCGGAAGGAAGCAGCACUAAGUUUGCAGUACCUUGUGCCUUAAGUUUUUAAGUA